rnacentral:rRNA from 1 species
UAAGCCAUGCGAGUCUGGGACGCCUCGUGCGUCCCGGCGCACGGCUCAGUAACACGUGGCCAACCUACCCUCGGGUGGGGGAUAACCCCGGGAAACUGGGGAUAAUCCCCCAUAGGCCUGGGAUUCCUGGAAGUGGGCCCAGGCCGAAAGGCUUUUGCCGCCCGAGGAUGGGGCUGCGGCCCAUCAGGUUGUAGGGGGUGUAACGGACCCCCUAGCCGACGACGGGUACGGGCCCUGGGAGGGGGAGCCCGGAGAUGGACCCUGAGACACGAGUCCAGGCCCUACGGGGCGCAGCAGGCGCGAAACCUUCGCAAUGCGCGAAAGCGCGACGAGGGGAGCCCGAGUGCCCUUCCUUUUGGGAGGGCUUUUCCGGAGUCUAAAAAGCUCCGGGAAUAAGGGCUGGGCAAGACGGGUGCCAGCCGCCGCGGUAAUACCCGCAGCUCGAGUGGUGGCCACUAUUAUUGAGCCUAAAGCGUCCGUAGCCGGACCCGUAAAUCCCUGGGUAAAUCCUGGCGCUCAACGUCAGGAAUUCCGGGGAGACUGCGGGUCUUGGGACCGGGAGAGGCCGGAGGUAUUCCCGGGGUAGGGGUAAAAUCCUGUAAUCCCGGGGGGACCACCUGUGGCGAAAGCGUCCGGCUUGAACGGCUCCGACGGUGAGGGACGAAGGCCAGGGGAGCAAACCGGAUUAGAUACCCGGGUAGUCCUGGCUGUAAACGCUGCCCGCUUGGUGUUGUCGGUCUCUCGGGGGCCGGCAGUGCCGGAGCGAAGGUGUUAAGCGGGCCGCUUGGGGAGUACGGCCGCAAGGCUGAAACUUAAAGGAAUUGGCGGGAGAGCACUGCAACGGGAGGAGCGUGCGGUUUAAUUGGAUUCAACGCCGG